AAGACAUUAUUUCAUUCUUUUAUAUGGCUGCAUAGUAUUCCACAGUGUAUAUGUACCUUAUUUGCUUUAUCCAAUCCACCUUUGACAUUGCAAUAUCAUUAUUAAUCAUAGUAUCAAAUUACAGUCUGCAAGGAGAGUUACAAUGACAUUUCAUUUCAUAAUUUUAAAUGUAUAGACUUUUUUCAAACAACAUAGCACAAGGGAAUAAUUAACUUGCUAAAUUUAAAGUUCAUUUUGCCACCUGGGCUGGGACCACUCAAAAAGAAAAACUUCUCUUUUUGAGCCAAAGACCAGAAAGAAAAUAAGAUGGGUUUUUACACCUUCUUGGGCAUGACAAAGGAACAGUUUAGCUGCAAAUCUAUGUUUUAUAAAAGAAGAAAAAAAAACUUUGUAGAGUAAGUGGAGAAGUGUUUGUAGCUCAUGACCCAAGAGGACCCAAUUACUGGGUGUCUGUGAAGGAGACAGAAGUGUCAGAGGGCUGAUGGCAAACAAGCUCUCAAAGGCUGCUUCCAAAACCUGCUCACACAGAGCAGAAUUCUAACAAGAAGCAGAUGAUAUUCACCACCUGGGACCUGUCAGGGAGCUCCAGAGAGUUGGAGGGCCAGCUCUGGGAGGCUGAUGGAGGCGGUCAAGUGCUUCUGGAGGAAGUUUUUCCUCUGGAAUGUUAGAAGAGUCACUCCCAGGACCUAUAUGAGGAAGUGAAUCCAGGCAGCUUAAGGUGUAGUCUGUGGUUUUGAUCCCAGGAGUGCCACCUAGUAAACAUCUUACCUGUUAAUCACUAUCUCAUGGUUGCCUCUCAGAGAACUUAAGCUGUAUCAAAUAUUAUAUACUGAUACUAUAACUGAAACCAUAACUAUCAUGAAUUUAUAUAUAUACAUUGUCUUACUCUUCUCAUACUGCUAAUAAAGACAUACCCUA